UGGGGAAUUUUGCACAAUGGGGGGAACCUUGAUGCAGCGACGCCGCGUGAGGGAUGGAGGCCUUCGGGUUGUGAACCUCUUUCGCUCGUGUGCAAGCCGCUAUUUGGGUAGUGGUGAGUGUAGCGUGUAAAGAAGCGCCGGCUAACUACGUGCCAGCAGCCGCGGUAAUACGUAGGGCGCGAGCGUUGUCCGGAUUUAUUGGGCGUAAAGGGCUUGUAGGCGGUUUGUCGCGCCUGUCGUGUAAUCCUCUGGCUUAACUGGGGGAGUGCGGUGGGUACGGGCAAGCUUGAGUGCGGUAGGGGAGGAUGGAAUUCCUGGUGUAGCGGUGGAAUGCGCAGAUAUCAGGAGGAACACCGGUGGCGAAGGCGGGUCUCUGGGCCGUUACUGACGCUGAGGAGCGAAAGCGUGGGGAGCGAACAGG
rnacentral:rRNA from 1 species